AUCAUACCUACACCAAAUUAAAUGAACAAGUGAAUAAAUACUCAAAUAGUUACUUUAAUAAACAAAUAAAAUUAAAAAAAAGAGAGAGAGAGGGGGUAGAUCGUUUUUUUUUUCAACACAACAUUAAUUGAUGCAUUUAAUUAGAGUAGACAAAUCUUUUCCCCUCCUCUGACAAAAGAGAUUUGAGAUAGGAAUGUGGCAGGCAACUUGCCACAACCAACUUGCUACCCACGCCACUUUCACCGCCAUCUUUUAUACAUAUACACAAUUGUUUUCUUCACCCCCACAUCACUAUCACACCAUCUAUUCUCUCUGCACACACCAACCCCACAAAACAUAGAGGAGUCCGAGGAGGGAGAUUUCUACAAUCCAACAACACUUUACUUCCCCAUCAAAAGGCUAUCUCCGCAAGUAAGGUCGGAGUAAGAAAUUCAAGUUAAGGAAACUAAGCGAUCAAGGGAAUGCCUUGUAGGCUAUGAUAAAGCAACAGCUGACUAAGGCUCUCCCCAUGUGCUUCCAAUAGGUCCAAAGUGGAGAAUGUUGGAUAUUAUGUGGACCAAUUUUGGUGUUGGACUUAUGUAUUAAUUGAAUUGGGCUGGCCUGAUUUAAUUAAUUAGUUAGGCCAAAAUCUUUGGUGAGUUUGGCCCGUUGUAUGGCUGGCCUGUUACUUACCUUGUGUAUCCGAUGGCCGCCUUGUAGCAUCUCCACUCGGAUCACGGAGCUCAGCCGUUGGAUGAGAAGUGUGUUUGUGUUGUGUGUUAUGUACACUACUUACCUUUCUCUCUCGCAUUCAUUCAUCUAUUCUCUCUCUCUCUCUUGCGAUAACUCUCCGCCUUCUCUCUACUCUCUCUCUGGUUUUCCGGCCGUGUUCGCCGGUCAUCUUCUCCGAUCUCUUUGUUCCACCGGUGAUUCUCGGUUUUAGAGAGGUUCAUCGGUUUAGAUCUUGAGUUAGGCGACUUCUUCGGUGUCCUUCUCAAAUCUAGGGUUAGGUCUAACUCUUGUGUUGGAUCUAGUUGUGAUUGGAGAUAUUCUUGAGAGUUCUUGUGUUUCGAAGCGGUGUUCCAAGGGAUUCGUGUUGAUCCGUGUGUUGAGUUGGUUGCGUUGGCGGUAGUCGGUGAAACUGAGGUUUCUGACCACUGUGUUCAACGGUGCUCGUCUUGUGACUGUCGGUUGAAGCUGUGAGGAGGUCCUUGGCCUGGUGUAGUCGUUGUUGCGACCUGAGCAAUAUCUUGUUGCUUGAGACUCUGUUUGUCUUUGAUUGUUCUGAAUUGAUUUAGAUCCUAAGGGAUCAAAUGAUUAGUGUUACUAACAAUUCUACUUAGUGUGCAGGUAUACAUUUUCAGAUAGAGCUUGUGGACUCAGUCUAGUAGAAGACUGACUUGUAGCUAGGGUGUUCCUGAGUUGUAUCAUUUGUACUUAGAUUACUUGUAAUCUUGUAAUCUUCUUUUGUACUUGGCUUGUUCCUCUGUGAUUAGCCAUCUCAGAAUUGCGGUAUACAAAAAGAGGUUCCGGUAAUUAGUGAAUCCAUGGUGGUCUGAUCCCUACUCAAUGAAUACAAGUUUUUGUGAUGUCAAACUCGAUCUCGCUUCUAUCCCAUCAUUAUGUUUGUCUUGUUGUAAUAGAGGCGAGUCAAUUUUUUAAUUUCAUUUUUCUAAUUUUUCAAUGCACUAUAUUUAAUACUACUACUAUACUACUUUUUUCCUUUA